rnacentral:rRNA from 1 species
CCUACGGGUGGCAGCAGUGGGGAAUAUUGCACAAUGGGGGAAACUCUGAUGCAGCGACGCCGCGUGAGUGAUGAAGUAUCUCUGUAUGUAAAGCUCUAUCAGUAGGGAAGAAAAACGAGGCUACCUGACUAUGUAGCCCCGGCUAACUACGUGCCAGCAGCCGCGGUCAUACGUAGGUGGCACGCGUUGUCCGGAUUUCCUGGGUGUAAAGGGCGUGUAGCCGGGUUGACAAGUCAGAUGUGAAAUCCUGCGGCUUAACCGCAGAACUGCAUUUGAAACUGUUGAUCUUGAGUACUGGAGAGGCAGACGGAAUGCCUAGUGUAGCGGUGAAAUGCGUAGAUAUUAGGAGGAACACCGGUGGCGAAGGCAGUCUGCUGGACAGCAACUGACGGUGAGGCGCGAAAGCGUGGGGAGCAAACAGGAUUAGAUACCCGGGUAGUC